UAUUGUGUUGUUCCAGCGCCUGCCAUGGCGGAAGGGUGGAUAAUCGCUCCGUGGUGACAAAUUCAUUUCCUUCGUACCCUUGGGCUUGCCUGCUGAUCGUUGGAUUGAAGAUUAGACCCGCUAUGCAUCGUACGUAAUUAGGAUUUCUUGAGGCUGGACCCGGCCGCUGGGCACGGCAAUUCUUCCGAUGCGUGCCAAGUGACGAAUUCAACGCAUCUUUUCGCUGCGGCUGCCAUGGAGGACCAACUUCUCUCUCCUGGUAGUCAGAGCACCCAGUGGAAUCACUCUUCGGGCCUUGUCAAGGGCCAACCAAAGG